rnacentral:rRNA from 1 species
AAGCUCGUAGUUGAAUUUCGUGGUUCUACCGUUGGUCGGGCUAACAAGUCUGUACUAGCGUGCAGAAUCUCUACCUUCUGGGGAACCAUCAUGUUAUUAAUUUAGCGUGGUGGGAAACCAGGACCUUUACCUUGAAAAAAUUAGAGUGUUCAAAGCAGGCUUACGUCUGAAUACAUUAGCAUGGAAUAAUAAAAUAGGACGGUGGUCCUGUUUUGUUGGUUUCUGAAUCACCGUAAUGAUUAAUAGGGAUAGUUGGG